UAGGGUAUAGCUCAAGCGGCAGAGUGCAUGCCUAGCAGGUAUGAGGCCCUGGGUUCAAUUCUCAGUACCUUCA
rnacentral:tRNA from 1 species